UGCUGUAUAAAAACCCAAAACAUAUUACAUUGUCAAGUUCCCAAUAUUGGCCAAAUACGAUGUUGAGUACCCAAUAUCUUCUCGGCAAUAUUGGAAGUAUUAGUAACAAUAGUAUGCGCCACUAAAAUGACAAUAAGGUGUAAGAUCUUUUAAUUAAAACAUGCUUCAAUAUUCAUCAAAUGUCCAUUCUUGGAAUCAC
rnacentral:lncRNA from 1 species